rnacentral:rRNA from 1 species
UACGUAGGGGCCGAGCGUUGUCCGGAGUUAUUGGGCGUAAAGCGCGCGCAGGCGGCUUGACGCGCCCGACGUGAAAGCCCCCGGCUUAACCGGGGAGGGUCGUCGGGUACGGUCAGGCUUGAGGGCGGGAGAGGGUGGUGGAAUUCCCGGUGUAGUGGUGAAAUGCGUAGAGAUCGGGAGGAACACCUGUGGCGAAGGCGCCACUCUGGGCCGAAACUGACGCUGAGGAGCGAAAGCGUGGGUAGCAAACAGG